rnacentral:rRNA from 1 species
UACGGAGGGUGCAAGCGUUGUCCGGAUUUAUUGGGUUUAAAGGGUGCGUAGGCGGUUCUUUAAGUCUGGGGUGAAAGCCCACUGCUCAACAGUGGAACUGCCCUGGAAACUGGAGAACUUGAGUACAGACGAGGGUGGCGGAAUGGAUGGUGUAGCGGUGAAAUGCAUAGAUACCAUCCAGAACCCCGAUUGCGAAGGCAGCUGCCUAGACUGUAACUGACGCUGAGGCACGAAAGCGUGGGGAGCGAACAGG